UCCAGACUCCUACGGGAGGCAGCAGUGGGGGAUAUUGGACAAUGGGGGGAACCCUGAUCCAGCGACGCCGCGUGAGUGAAGAAGUAUUUCGGUAUGUAAAGCCCUGUCAGCAGGGAAGAAAGAAAUGACGGUACCUGACUAAGAAGCCCCGGCUAACUACGUGCCAGCAGCCGCGGUAAUACGUAGGGGGCAAGCGUUAUCCGGAUUUACUGGGUGUAAAGGGAGCGUAGACGGCAGCGCAAGUCUGGAGUGAAAUGCCGGGGCCCAACCCCGGAACUGCUUUGGAAACUGUGCAGCUCGAGUGCAGGAGAGGUAAGCGGAAUUCCUAGUGUAGCGGUAAAAUGCGUAGAUAUUAGGAGGAACACCAGUGGCGAAGGCGGCUUACUGGACUGUAACUGACGUUGAGGCUCGAAAGCGUGGGGAGCAAACAGGAUUAGAUACCCGCGUA
rnacentral:rRNA from 1 species